UUUAGAGUUUGAUCCCUGGCUCAGGAUGAACGCUGGCGGCGUGCUUAACACAUGCAAGUCGAACGAUGAAGCUGGUGCUUGCACUGGUGGAUUAGUGGCGAACGGGUGAGUAUCACGUGAGUAACCUUCCCUUGACUCUGGGAUAAGCCCGGGAAACUGGGUCUAAUACCGGAUAUGACCGGCCUCCGCAUGGGGUGCUGGUGGAAAGCUUUUGCGGUUUUGGAUGGACUCGCGGCCUAUCAGUUUGUUGGUGAGGUAAUGGCUCACCAAGGCGAUGACGGGUAGCCGGCCUGAGAGGGUGACCGGCCACACUGGGACUGAGACACGGCCCAGACUCCUACGGGAGGCAGCAGUGGGGAAUAUUGCACAAUGGGCGCAAGCCUGAUGCAGCGACGCCGCGUGCGGGAUGACGGCCUUCGGGUUGUAAACCCGCUUUCAGCAAGGAAGAAGC
rnacentral:rRNA from 1 species